CCUACGGGUGGCAGCAGUGGGGAAUAUUGGACAAUGGGGGGAACCCUGAUCCAGCCAUGCCGCGUGUGUGAAGAAGGCCCUCGGGUUGUAAAGCACUUUCAGUGAGGAAGAACGCCUGGUGGUUAAUACCCAUCAGGAAAGACAUCACUCACAGAAGAAGCGCCGGCUAACUCCGUGCCAGCAGCCGCGGUAAUACGGAGGGUGCGAGCGUUAAUCGGAAUUACUGGGCGUAAAGCGCGCGUAGGUGGCUUGAUAAGCCGGUUGUGAAAGCCCCGGGCUCAACCUGGGAACGGCAUCCGGAACUGUCAAGCUAGAGUGCAGGAGAGGAAGGUAGAAUUCCCGGUGUAGCGGUGAAAUGCGUAGAGAUCGGGAGGAAUACCAGUGGCGAAGGCGGCCUUCUGGACUGACACUGACACUGAGGUGCGAAAGCGUGGGUAGCAAACAGGAUUAGAUACCCGUGUAGUC
rnacentral:rRNA from 1 species